rnacentral:rRNA from 1 species
AGUGAACGCUGGCGGUAGGCCUAACACAUGCAAGUCGAACGGCAGCACAGUAAGAGCUUGCUCUUACGGGUGGCGAGUGGCGGACGGGUGAGGAAUACAUCGGAAUCUACUUUUUCGUGGGGGAUAACGUAGGGAAACUUACGCUAAUACCGCAUACGACCUACGGGUGAAAGCAGGGGAUCUUCGGACCUUGCGCGAUUGAAUGAGCCGAUGUCGGAUUAGCUAGUUGGCGGGGUAAAGGCCCACCAAGGCGACGAUCCGUAGCUGGUCUGAGAGGAGGAUCAGCCAACCGGGAACUGAGACACGGCCCAGACCCCUACGGGAGGCAGCAGUGGGGAAUAUUGGACAAUGGGCGCAAGCCUGAUCCAGCCAUACCGCGUGGGUGAAGAAGGCCUUCGGGUUGUAAAGCCCUUUUGUUGGGAAAGAAAAGCAGCAGGUUAAUACCCCGCUGUUCUGACGGUACCCAAAGAAUAAGCACCGGCUAACUUCGU